rnacentral:rRNA from 1 species
CCCUUAGAUGUUCUGGGCCGCACGCGCGCUACAAUGGUCUUCGCAAACGGAUGCAUUCUCGAAGGAGAGUGCCAAUCUUGGAAUCUAUGCCUUGGUCGGGACAGUUGCUUGCAAUUUUUCGACUCGAACCAGGAAUUCCUUGUAAUCGUGAUUCAUCACAUCACGAUGAAUACGUCCCUGCCCUUUGUACACACCGCCCGUCGCUCCUACCGAUCGAAGAGUUAGGUGAAUUGUUUUGAUCGAUAAGAUUUGACUAUGGUCAACUCUCGUUGUGAAAUUCUGUGAAUCUGACUGUUUAGAGGAAGGAAAAGUCGUAACA